rnacentral:rRNA from 1 species
GACGAACGCUGGCGGCGUGCUUAACACAUGCAAGUCGAACGGAAAGGCCCUGCUUUUGUGGGGUGCUCGAGUGGCGAACGGGUGAGUAACACGUGAGUAACCUGCCCUUGACUUUGGGAUAACUUCAGGAAACUGGGGCUAAUACCGGAUCGGAGCUCCUGCUGCAUGGUGGGGGUUGGAAAGUUUCGGCGGUUGGGGAUGGACUCGCGGCUUAUCAGUUUGUUGGUGGGGUAGUGGCUUACCAAGGCUUUGACGGGUAGCCGGCACGGGAGGGUGACCAGCCACAUGGCGACUGAGAUACGGCCCAGACGCCUACGGGAGGCAGCAGUGGCGAAUAUUGCACAAUGGGCGGAAGCCUGAUGCAGCAGCGCCGCGUGCGGGAUGACGGCCUUCGGGUUGUAAACCGCUUUCGCCUGUGACGAAGCGUGAGUGACGGUAAUGGGUAAAGAAGCACCGGCUAACUACGUG